GGUUUGUGGCUCAGUGGUAGAGUGCUUACUUCACAUGUAUGAGGCACUGAGUUCGAUUCUCAGCACCA
rnacentral:tRNA from 1 species